GAGUGAGUGUGCGAACAAGUAACUGCAUUUUUUUGCAUUCUUCUGCUUUUCUUGGUUCAUCAAUGGAGCGUUCUUCCAGGAAGCUAUCCUUAGAACAAAUCGAAGCAAUGACCCAUGCCACCAUCAACAAAAUCCACUUUUCAAACGCGCGAGAGCGUCUCCGCCACGGCACAACCGUGACCUACCAUGACUGCACCGCCGCAGGUUACGGCUGGCUUCUUCCGGGUUGGGUAGCCGAGGAACGCCGAGUCCAGAGUGGAAGAAUCUACAGGUACUACUACGACCCGAAUGGAUCGUUUUACGAGAGCCAACAAAAGGUGUUGGAGUUCCUGGAGCGAUUAUGGGGAAUAAUCGUUCUUGACACUUAGAUCUCAGAGAUCUUUGUGUUGCACUCUUAGGAGUACUUGUUGUGGCAAGCCAGACUCGGACGGGGACCCUUUAGUUUAAAUUAAUAAUGUCUUCGUUUGUUGUUGUUCUUGUUUUUUUCGUUGUUUUGUGCUCAUUGUUCUUCAAUGUUAAUGGCUAUUUUCUCAAUUCCUUCGUAA